UUUUUACACUCCAAUAAUCUCUCAAUUCACCUUCUUUCAUCUAUCUACUUUGUAUGUAGUUAUACUAAUGUUUCUCCAAGGUCUUUUACCGGCGUUGAUUUUCCAUACCAAGACUUUGAUUUAUUUCUUUAAGAGGUAUUUCUUUGCACUUUACAAGAAAAAUCACAAACUUUUCUUUUUCUUUUGUAGAAAUAACAAUGAAUCCCUUUUAUGGUUUAUUUGAUCAUUUUGAGUUAGGUUUAUUAUUUCUCAGGUGGGUAUUUUUUGAAUUAUUUCAUUAAUUUGAAAUUUUUCUUACAUGGGUAUUGUGAAAUUUGCUUUAUGGUGUUGUCUUGAGAGAUUGAGUGAUUAUGCUAUUUUUGUGCUUUUGUUUACAAGGGGUUACUUUGUUAUUGUAUGUAGUUAGCCUGUGUGGUUUUUUACUAGUUUGUUGCUGCUUGUUUGUUUUAGAGGACAGGUUGCAUAAAUAUAAUCGAGUAAUUGAGUGAUCUGAUCUCUCUAUCCCCUCCAUUAAUUGUUUUAUCUUGGACUUCGCAGAAUAAUUCAGUUUUCUGUUUUGAAUUUUACUUUGUUUUGCUGUCCCUGAAAUACAGGAACUAAGUUUUUCAAUUCAGUGCAUAUUUUAAGGUUUUAUUUUGAGUCUUCCCUGAUCUAGCCUUCUAUUAUUCAAAAUACUGUUUUACCAGGUAUAUAAAAAUGAGAUGUAGUGUGGUAUAUUUGGAUGAUGAUUGAUGAACUGUUUUGUUUUCUUUGUGCAAGUCUAUAUAAAAAUUUAUAUGAAAUUUGCAUAACUAUAGUUGAAAUCCGAGUACUUUUUAUGCUCUUUGACUACUUCUCCAGGAUGUUUUUUAGAUUUUAUACUGAGUGCUAAUUUUCAAUUGGUUUCAGGUUUAGAUGUCAUGAGGGUGUUGGUUCUUAUUCAUAGAUCUUUGGGGUAAAUAACUGAUUGCUUUGUGACGAU
rnacentral:lncRNA from 1 species